GCUUCACAACUCUGAGAUUGCUGUGCAAAUCAAGUUUCACUCCGUUUGCUACUGGCUUCUAAGUUGAUGUUGCGGAAUAUCGUGAAUUAUGUGAUGCAACUUGUGAGGGAUAAUUUUGUUUCAUACUAUUUUUUAAUGCAUGCUAAAUUGGUUAUUUUUUCAUUCUUUAUUUGAUCAAAUGUGUUUGAAGAUGGAGGAUUACAAGCAAUCUAAAUGAUUAGUUUGUGAGAUGAGAGAUCCCGACUAUGAAGCCCAUGCACAUGUAUGAGUAUGUGUACUGGUACGACAGGGGUACGUCGGCAUGGUAUUAUGGUAAAACUUAGAAAAUAGGUAUCACUAUGGGUGGAGUGUGUUUGUAAAAUAUAUAAUUUUAUAAUUUAGUCGUAUACCAUGCAUUAGUGAAAGAUUGUGGGUAUGCGUUUCCUGUGCUGUGUACACAUACUGACUUAUCAAGCAAAGUUCCGGGUACCCGAUUGAUCUGGGUGGGAGUAUGUCAUGGCUUUUGAGAUGCUUGUACUUGAUAGGUUCCCGAUCUCUUGUCCUUAUAUCGCUGCUUUUAGGUUCCACUUGGACUCUUCUGUGCCGUUUCUUUAUCAACAAAUGAGCCUCUUGGAUAAUGAACGCUGGGGAUAAUGUUCCAGUAAACCGUAUCUUGUGGAGUAUUGACUAUGACAGUAGAUAUAAUUUUGAUUAAUAAGCAAAUAACCCAGUGAGCUUUGAGAAGAGGAUUGUUCCGAGUUGUUUGGCUUAGAAACCAAACAUUAGCUUUAACUUGAUGCUGGAGUCUCAAGAAAAGUUAUUCACAAAGAAGUUUGUGAACUGGACUUAAAGAAGCAGCUCCUGAGCUAUUAAGGAUAUAAUGACGAUAUGGACAUGAGAAAUUGCCACGGUUUCAGUCAGUUAGUUCGUGGUAUCAAGAUUCUGGGUAUUGUCAAACUGCAAGGCGUCUUUGGUUGAUGAAAGAAGCAGAGGGUGGUAAGACGACUUGGUGAUGCAGUCGGGAUCAUGGUUGCUUUCUUUGAAAGAGUACCUGUUUAUUUGUUUGUGUCUGAAGUCUGUGUUUCUUUAUAAGACCUUAUGAUAUUUGAGGAGAGAAUUUUCUGGAGACGAGAGUUAAUGAACUUUAGCUGUGCCUUUUGUAUUUGAUGUGUAUGUUCAAAAACCAAGUUGUAAUUGUGCUUCUUAACUUGAUGAUUUUCCGACA